rnacentral:rRNA from 1 species
CUUGCUCCUGGUGGCGAGUGGCGAACGGGUGAGUAAUACAUCGGAACGCGUCCUGUAAUGGGGGAUAACCUAGCGAAAGUUAGGCUAAUACCGCAUACGUCCUACGGGAGAAAGCGGGGGAUCGCAAGACCUCGCGUUAUAGGAGUGGCCGAUGUCGGAUUAGCUAGUUGGUGGGGUAAAGGCCUACCAAGGCGACGAUCCGUAGCUGGUCUGAGAGGACGACCAGCCACACUGGAACUGAGACACGGUCCAGACUCCUACGGGAGGCAGCAGUGGGGAAUUUUGGACAAUGGGGGCAACCCUGAUCCAGCCAUUCCGCGUGAGUGAAGAAGGCCUUCGGGUUGUAAAGCUCUUUCGGCUGGGAAGAAAUCGCAUGGGUUAAUACCUUGUGCGGAUGACGGUACCGGAAGAAGAAGCACCGGCUAACUACGUGCCAGCAGCCGCGGUAAUACGUAGGGUGCGAGCGUUAAUCGGAAUUACUGGGCGUAAAGCGUGCGCAGGCGGUUAUGUAAGACAGAUGUGAAAUCCCCGGGCUUAACCUGGGAACUGCGUUUGUGACUGCAUAACUAAAGUGCGGCAGAGGGGGGUGGAAUUCCACGUGUAGCAGUG